AAAAGAACAGAGACGCUCAUCCUGCGCCUGGUAGGGCGAAGUGGGGUCCGGUAAAGCGACCUUCAGCGCAAAGCUGAGGGGGCGCAGGGACCUAACAGCAAGGACCGCAGGGGGAGGCCACCCCUUGCUGGCCAGAAUCAGAAUGAAGAGACAGACGAUAAUGCCGUUCAUUCUGGCCGUCCCGAGUAGCUGGGACUACAGGCGUGCGCCCACCACGCCAGGCUAAUUUUUUAAAAAUUUUAUGGAGACGGGGGUCCCACUAUGUUGCCCGGGCUGGUCUUGAACUCCUGGCCUCAUGUGAUCCUCCCACCAUGGCCUCCCAAAAUGUUGAGAUUACAGGCCUGAGCCACCGCACCUGGUCAUUCAACUAUUAUUUUAAGCCACACACUUCUGCAUAAUAGAGCAUGUAUUAUUAGUCUACUAUUGCCACACUAAAGAGGUGUAACAAAAUGCCUCCCAAACUCAGAGGCGUAACCCAACAAUCGUUUAUUCUCACUUAUGCAUCUGCAGGUCACUGAUGUGGGCUGAGUUCAGCUGGACGUGUCUCCAAGCUGAAGAUUGGGUCCCUGUCUUCUCCAUGUCUCAGCUUCCCUGGACCAGUGGGUCAGUCAGGGCGUGUUCUUCUCAUGGUGGUUGUUCACAGAAAAAGCGGUCUUGAUCCAGACCCCAA
rnacentral:lncRNA from 1 species